rnacentral:tRNA from 1 species
GAAGGUUUAGCUCAGUGGUAGAGUGCCUGCUUAGCAUGCAUGAGGUCCUGGGUUCUAAUCCCCAGAACCUCCA